CCUACGGGAGGCAGCAGUGAGGAAUAUUGGUCAAUGGCCGCAGGGCUGAACCAGCCAAGUCGCGUGAGGGAUGACGGUCCUAUGGAUUGUAAACCUCUUUUGUCAGGGAGCAAAGGGCGCCACGUGUGGCGCUUUGCGAGUACCUGAAGAAAAAGCAUCGGCUAACUCCGUGCCAGCAGCCGCGGUAAUACGGAGGAUGCGAGCGUUAUCCGGAUUUAUUGGGUUUAAAGGGGGCGCAGGCGGAAUGUCAAGUCAGCGGUAAAAUUUCGUGGCUCAACCCCGUCGUGCCGUUGAAACUGGCGUUCUUGAGUGAGCGAGAAGUAAGCGGAAUGCGUGGUGUAGCGGUGAAAUGCAUAGAUAUCACGCAGAACUCCGAUUGCGAAGGCAGCAUACCGGCGCUCAACUGACGCUCAUGCACGAAAGCGUGGGUAUCGAACAGGAUUAGAUACCCUAGUAGUC
rnacentral:rRNA from 1 species